rnacentral:tRNA from 1 species
GCGGGUGUAGCUCAAUGGUAGAGCACCUGGUUCCCAACCAGAUGACGGGAGUUCGAUUCUCCUCACCCGCUCCA